rnacentral:rRNA from 1 species
GCAGUCGUGCCAGUGAGUCACACGAUAAGCUUGCUCUCGGGUGACGAGCGGCGGACGGGUGAGUAAUGUCUGGGAAACUGCCUGAUGGAGGGGGAUAACUACUGGAAACGGUAGCUAAUACCGCAUAACGUCGCAAGACCAAAGUGGGGGACCUUCGGGCCUCAUGCCAUCAGAUGUGCCCAGAUGGGAUUAGCUAGUAGGUGGGGUAACGGCUCACCUAGGCGACGAUCCCUAGCUGGUCUGAGAGGAUGACCAGCCACACUGGAACUGAGACACGGUCCAGACUCCUACGGGAGGCAGCAGUGGGGAAUAUUGCACAAUGGGCGCAAGCCUGAUGCAGCCAUGCCGCGUGUGUGAAGAAGGCCUUCGGGUUGUAAAGCACUUUCAGCGGGGAGGAAGGCGAUAAGGUUAAUAACCUUGUCGAUUGACGUUACCCGCAGAAGAAGCACCGGCUAACUCCGUGCCAGCAGCCGCGGUAAUACGGAGGGUGCAAGCGUUAAUCGGAAUUACUGGGCGUAAAGCGCACGCAGGCGGUCUGUCAAGUCGGAUGUGAAAUCCCCGGGCUCAACCUGGGAACUGCAUUCGAAACUGGCAGGCUAGAGUCUUGUAGAGGGGGGUAGAAUUCCAGGUGUAGCGGUGAAAUGCGUAGAGAUCUGGAGGAAUACCGGUGGCGAAGGCGGCCCCCUGGACAAAGACUGACGCUCAGGUGCGAAAGCGUGGGGAGCAAACAGGAUUAGAUACCCUGGUAGUCCACGCCGUAAACGAUGUCGAUUUGGAGGUUGUGCCCUUGAGGCGUGGCUUCCGGAGCUAACGCGUUAAAUCGACCGCCUGGGGAGUACGGCCGCAAGGUUAAAACUCAAAUGAAUUGACGGGGGCCCGCACAAGCGGUGGAGCAUGUGGUUUAAUUCGAUGCAACGCGAAGAACCUUACCUGGUCUUGACAUCCACAGAACUUUCCAGAGAUGGAUUGGUGCCUUCGGGAACUGUGAGACAGGUGCUGCAUGGCUGUCGUCAGCUCGUGUUGUGAAAUGUUGGGUUAAGUCCCGCAACGAGCGCAACCCUUAUCCUUUGUUGCCAGCGGUUAGGCCGGGAACUCAAAGGAGACUGCCAGUGAUAAACUGGAGGAAGGUGGGGAUGACGUCAAGUCAUCAUGGCCCUUACGACCAGGGCUACACACGUGCUACAAUGGCAUAUACAAAGAGAAGCGACCUCGCGAGAGCAAGCGGACCUCAUAAAGUAUGUCGUAGUCCGGAUUGGAGUCUGCAACUCGACUCCAUGAAGUCGGAAUCGCUAGUAAUCGUAGAUCAGAAUGCUACGGUGAAUACGUUCCCGGGCCUUGUACACACCGCCCGUCACACCAUGGGAGUGGGUUGCAAAAGAAG